CAGCCGCCGCGGUAAUACGUAGGUGGCAAGCGUUGUCCGGAAUUAUUGGGCGUAAAGGGCUCGCAGGCGGUUUCUUAAGUCUGAUGUGAAAGCCCCCGGCUCAACCGGGGAGGGUCAUUGGAAACUGGGAAACUUGAGUGCAGAAGAGGAAAGUGGAAUUCCACGUGUAGCGGUGAAAUGCGUAGAGAUGUGGAGGAACACCAGUGGCGAAGGCGACUCUCUGGUCUGUAACUGACGCUGGGGAGCGAAAGCGUGGGGAGCGAACAGGAUUAGAUACCCCGGUAGUCCCUGUCUCUUAUAA
rnacentral:rRNA from 1 species